rnacentral:lncRNA from 10 species
CCCAAAGUCCAUUAUCAUUCUUAUGCCUUUGCAUCCUCAUAGCUUAGCUCCCACUUAUAAGUGAGAACACAUGACAUUUGGUUUUCCUUUCCUGAGUUAUUUCACUUAGAAUAAUGGUCUCAAGCUCCAUCCAGGUUGCUGCAAAUGCCAUUAUUUCAUUCUUUUUUAUGGCAGAGUAAUAUUCCAUGGUGUGUGUGUGUUUAUAUAUAGGUAUCUCACAUUUUCUUUAUCCACUCAUUGGUUGAUGGAUAUCUACUAUCUUUAACAGAUGGUUCCAAGGUCAUUGCAAAAGAAGAUGCAAAGAGGAUGGAAAAUUGAAGGUUCCUAUGCCUCAGAAGGCCAUGAGGAAGGACUCUGGAAGAUGUCUGAAUACUAGAAACCCCGAGAGCCAGAAGAAUGCAUUCGUCUGUGGUUCAAGCUAAGUAUGGGUAGUGCCAAGAUGGUUUCUGAUUUGGUCUCCACCACAUACAGUGAUUCCAAAGGGGGGUAAGACAUCCUUCCUCCUGCCCCAGUGUCAGCCCUUUGCAGUCUAUCUCGGUCUGCUUUUCAAGUACCCCUAAUAUCUUGGCACUUCCUCAUGGUGAAAAGUCUCCUUCCUCCCCUUCCUGAACCCAUCCAUGUGCCCAAUGCCCAAAGGACAUUUGGAGGGAUGCACUUAAAAUCAAAUUCGUCCACUGUCUAUUUGUUGAGAUAAGGUGUGGUGACAACAGCAGUCCAAGGGGACUACUAGCAGCCUCAGAAUCCAGCCACCCAGCCCUAGCCUUGUCAGGGCCACUCCUGGGCUGGGCACACUUGUAGGUGGGGAGGGAAGGGCAGCAUUGUCAGAGAAGACAGACCAAGCUGCAGCUGCCCUACUGGGAGGCUGGGAGGCCUGAAUAGCUUCACAGCGCUGGGCCCUGCUUGCUGAAUGGGGGCUUGGCUCCUCCCUGGCGGUGGUCCGGAAUGGAUGACAUUUUCAUUGCAAGCUAACAAGGGGAGAAAUCCAAUUACUUCACAAAGAGGCUCCUGAAGGGGCCUCACAGCCUGGAGAAAGAAGGGGAGGAGAAGAGGGGGAGAGGGAAGGAAGAAGGGGAGUGUGUGUGUGUGUGUGUGUGUGUGUGUGUGUGUGUGUGUGUGUGUGUGUGUGUGUGUAGGGAGGCUCCCACCCAGACCAGGAAAGGAACAAAGCCCUCAGGCCUCCAGGACAUGGCCUCCUGCAUACAGGCAGGGAGAUUGGAACUGGGGGGCUUUUAAUUGAUUUCCAGUGGGUCAGAGGGUCUGCCUGGAAACUCCAGGUCCCUGAGAGCUCCAGGCAAUCAGGCUUCCUCCCUGUGGAACAACCUGAGUGGUGCAGAAGAGGCCCCAGCCCUAUUUCUCUGCCCCAUCAGACUACAGUUUCCCUGACCUGAGUCAUCAAAGGCCCAUUAUACACUUUUUUACCUUUGUUGCAUCCACCUAAACUAUUAAUCCCUUUUUGAAACAUUUAUUUAAAGUGUAUUAUUUAAGCUCAGUAUUUUGGAAGUUUAUAUCCUAACUGCAAAUAGAAAAAGUAGAAGCUAAUUCUAAAUAGAAAUACAAUUCAAAUAGCCCAAUGUUGUUGAACCUCAGGGAGCUGAAAGCCUUGGGCUCUCUGGGGUGGAGGGUGGGAGUGAUGGGAUGGUGGGGUUAGCAAAUGUUUGCAAUCCAGAUUUCUCCCAGGUCUAAUCCAGGAGGAAGAAGAGGAUUGAAAAGGGAACACCUCCCUCCCGCAGCGGUUCAAAAGCUGCUCCAGGCAAGGCUAUGCCUCCAGGUCUUCCACACCUGCCCCCAGGGUAGUGGGUGUGGCGGCUUCACGGCCUUGCUGCCCUUAACUUUGGUUGCCCAACAGCUAGCUUAGUCCUCUCUUUUCCUCUUCCGGAAAAGAGAGGCAAAGUUAGGAACGAUUGAGUACUGGAUAGACCUACUUUCUGUGAGUUGUGGGGUGGUCACUGGAGUCCCAGAAAGUGUGAGAGGCCUGGGGGAGGUGGAAGAUAAUGGCAGUUCCAGGGCCACAAGCGUGUCCAGUCUCCCGCUCUCCCUCCCCUUCGACUCGGGAGGAAGGGCUACAGACCCCAUCUAGGAGGAAAUUAGCAUUCGCUUCCUCUGGCUCAGCCAGAGCAAAUCGGCCUUCAAAAGCCAGCGGCCUGGAGGCCACACAGCGCGCCCCUUUGUGGCUCCCACGCCUUGCCUCACCCUCUCCCCCAGCCGACUGAACUCCCUAGCUCCGAAGAGAGCAAAUGGGAGUCUCCUGAGGCACAAGGACCUGGGGUGGGGUGGGGCAGAUCUUCCUCAAUGCCCUCUCCAAACUGGGGGUCCCGCCUGCUUCUCCUGUCCUGUGGAGGCUUUUUGGUGAGCUUUGGUCCCAAAGGAGUUUAGGCCCCAAGGAUGGCACAGUGCUAGUCCUCACUCCCCCUUUACCCCCGGGAGAUUCAGGCCAAGUGGGAAGGCUGAGGGAGGGGCAGUGCUUGCUAGAGGGCAUGGCUCAGGUUAAGCUCCACCCACUCAGAUUUGUGUCCAAAAGUGGACAAGGACCACCCUGGGCUUUGGGGACUUCCUGCUCCCCUCUGAUCUCCCCAGGCCAUCUCUGUUCUCAGAAUACUGGAGGAGAGGAGGCUACGGAAAUGCGGGUUUCAUCCAGAGACUCAGGGGCACCCCUAAGUCCUCAGCGGGCUCACCGGUCAAGUCAGAUGCCUGGGGAGGGAGGCUGAGGGGAAGGGCUAAGGUGAGGAUGAUCUGCACAGUCGGAGGCAGUCAAAGAAGCUUAAAGAAGGUGAAGCUUAAAUAAUAAUCAUAGCCAACAAAAGCAGGCACCAGGAUUUCCUAAACACCUAAGGGAUUAACUGCUUUACCCUCCACUACUCUAGGAGGUAGCUGAGGCUGGCUAACUUGCUUAAAAAUCCCAGCUAGGCUGGGUGCGGUGGCUCACGCCUGUGAUCCCAGCACUUUGGGAGGCGGAGGCAGGCGAAUCACAAAGUCAGGAGUUCGAGACUAGCCUGGCCAACAUGGUGAAACCUCGUCUCUACUAAGAAUACAAAAAAUUAGCUGGGCGUAGUGGUGGGCACCUGUAAUCCCAGCUACUCGGGAGGCUGAGGCAGGAGAAUUUCUUGAACCCGGGAGGCCAAGGUUGCUGUGAGCUGAGAUCGUGCCACUGCACUCCAGCCCGGGUGACAGAGUGAGACUCUGUCUCAAAAAUAAAACAAAACAAAACAAAGCAAAAAACAAACAAACAAACAAAAAAACCAAACAAACAAAAAUCCCAGCUAGUGGGUGGCCGAGUUUACCUUGUAUUUCCUUGCUAUCUACCCAUUCCUAGUCCGUAUUCUUCACCUCCUUGUGGCAUUUGAUUUUGUUAAGACUCAAUCUUUUGGCUUCCAGAACUCCACUCUCUUCCUGGACUCUUCUAACCUCUCUGAUCAUUCCAUGUGCGUCUUCCUAGGGGCCCACCCAGGGCUUCUGCUGCCAGGGCAGUGUGUGUAUGCACAAACAGAGAGCCUGCGUAGUCUCUAGAUUCCAGAUACUCUCUGGAGUAGUGCAGUUUGGCAGUGUUGACCCUACCCCUUGAAUGUGCCUGGGGUUUAUUCCUUGGCCUUCUCAUCUGUAACCAGACUCAUUGUUUUAACAUUAUCUCUUCCCUGAUGACUCCCAAACUUUUGUCUCUAUCCUUGACAAAUCCCAUGGCCUAUGGGACACAUUCAUCUGGAUAACUCAACUCAAAAACACAAGAGGCCAUCAACUGAACUCAUGCUUCCUCCAAACCUUCUCACACUGGAAUUUCUGUCCUACGCAUCCAAGGUGGAAACUCUUGGGUUCUCAUUGAUUCAACUCUGCCCUGACACCCUCAUCUCCCUUUUCAACCAAACACCUCUCCUGCCCCAUUGUUUUUGCCAACCCAACAUCCAAUCACCAAGGUAAUUCUGCCUUUGAAAUCUCUCCUGCACCUCCCCUCUCCUCAUCUACUAAGUCUCCAUCAUCUCAUACUUUGACUAUUUGACAUAGAUCCCUAACAAAUGUCACUGCUCAGUCUUUCUGCUGCAGACAAAGAGCCCUUCAAACCCAGUCUCACAAAAAUCUCCCUGCUCAAAGAGUUCUGUGAGGCCGGGCACAGUGGCUCACAUCUGUAAUCCCAGCACUUUGGGAGGCUGAGGCAGGAGGAUCACAUGAGGUCAGGAGUUCAAAACCAGCCUGGCCAACAUGGUGAAACCUCAUUAAAAUACAAAAAUAAAAAAUUUAAAUACAUAAUUUAAAUUAAAAAUUAAUUAAAAUACAAAAUUAAAAAUAUAAAAAUUAACCGGGCGUGGAAUCACAUGCCUGUAAUCCCAGCUACUCAGGAGGCUGAGGCAGGAGAAUCUCUUGAACCUAGAAGAUGGAAGUUGCAGUAAGCUGAGAUGGCGCCACUGCACUCCAGCCUGGGCAACAGAGUGAGACUCCAUCUCAAAAAAAAAAAGGUCUGUGCCAUCCCUUAACAAAACUCCUAUCACUUGCUCUUCAUCUUCCAUGUGCUAUGCACCCUAUACCCCACUAUAGGCACUUAUCUAAACACUCCUUGUCUUUUCAUAUUUAUUUAUUCACAUGUCCCAUAAUUUUUUAUUUGAUAUCAUCUAUGAACCAGGCCCUGUGCUCACUGCUGGGAGAGAUAAACAUGAAUCAGACCCUGGCCCUGCACUCUGGAGGAUGAAGUCUGUUCUUCAUGUUGUUGCUAUUCUGCCAUUUUGAUAUACCCUUUUCCAUCAGAAAAUGUCUACUCUCAUAAAUAGAAAGUCUUAUAUUUUUCCCACAUAUCAGUGCAUCAUUUUAUGUAUGCACUCCUUGGAGUUCAUACAGUGCACUUUGAAGACAUCUGGACUAAGACCCAGAAACAGGAAGUAAAUAGAGUUUUUUGGUUGAAAGUGACAGAAAACCAAUUCAAACAAGUAGGAAAGGGAAUUUAUUGGUUCACAUAAGCAGGAAGUGCCGAGGUAGAUUAGAGCUGACCUUAGAGACUCCAAGAACACAUCACCUGUCACUCCCUCUGUCUGCCUCCUCAGGCCUUCUACCCUGAUGACUUCUAUUGCAGAGAUGGGUGAAGAGUAGAUGGUAGAUCUGGUGGCAGAAAGCUAUGAGCUUAUGUCAAUCCAGCCUAGUGAUGCCCCUGGAAAAAUAUGUUCUUUCCUAGCAUUCAUCUAAAAAUCUUAAGAAAUGGUUGUCAUUGACCCAAUUUGGAUAAUGUAUUCAUUCCUGAACCAGUAACUGAGGCAAGGGGAUGAAGAGCUCUGAAGGGAGAGGCUUGAAUCACAUACUCAUCCCUGUGGUCUGGAGGGCACUGUGACUGGUAACUGAAGAAGAACCACAUGGAAUUGGGGAGGAGCAGUUCUCCAAAGGAAGGUGAGUGCUGUAAUCAGAAAGGGGGGAAAGGAUCGGGGGCAGACAAACACAAAAAAUGCCACUACAGACAGUGUGGAGGCAAAACUAGACUACUGAUCCUUGAUUCUUUCCAUUGCAUUAUGGUGUUGUAGCUAGAUGAUCAAACCACAUAUCCCUCAGAAGACAGGUAUGAUCCUAAGAUAGUCCAGUCCUCAUUAUUGUACAGGAGCUGCAUAGGCAGAACAUUUCCUUACUCCUGAUGUUUCUUUCUAGACUUCUGCUUCCAGUUGUAAGGGAAGCCCUAUAAUUGAGACAGACUUACCAUUCUCCUGUAAACAGAAAACUUGACAAAACAUAUGAAAUAACAGUUUUCAGACAAUGGACUGUGAUCCUUGAGAGAAUGGAAACAAAUGAGGUGAGCCCUGUGAUCACCUGGCUUUCUGCUGGAGAUUUCUGGUCUGUGAUGCAGGGAUGGGGAACCCAAAGAGAGCCUGGUGGUCUUGCUGAGUUGAGGAUACAAAGAAGAGAAUUCAGGAGGUUGAGGCAGCUAGGGUUUGCACGUAGUGGAAAGAUUUUUACAGAGAAAGUUUCAGAAACAUGCAUAGAGCUCCCUUGAGUUCCCAUGAAGCUAACUAAAAAAAAAAUCCAGGGAAAGGACAAUUACUUGGGAGAAGUAAGAUAAAAAGAUUCUUAGAGUUCACACAGGUUGGGGAAUCAUUUGAGGUUCUACUAACCAGGAUGGAGACGCAUUGCUAUAAUAUGUGAGGCAUUUAUAUAUUUGAUGAAAGAUUCUAGAAGGGUCAUAUUUCAAUGGUGGGGCUAACCUAGCUCUAGAGUGAAGGUUACUGUAGUCCCAUUUUUUAAGAGCUUAAAAACAAGCUUUAAAAAGAUUAUAGUUGUCUUUUAAUGGCCUCCAGGACAAAAUGCAACCCCUCUUUAAUGGAAUACAAUAAAAUCAAGCACUCAAUGAUGUAAAUUUGCAUUACCCAGCAUCUAAUCAAGAAUGACUAGAAAUACACAGAAUUAGAAAUAUGUUACCCAUAAUUAGAUGUGGAUGCUAAAGCAACUCCAUCUUGGAUGCUAAUCUGCCAUGUUGACUUCUGAUUAACCCUGUUCUGGGAAGGCCUGUAAGAUUUCUACUUUAUCUACUGUUAUCAUACAUGUUGCCCAGAGGUCAAAACAACCUUGAUAAUAAAUUCUUCUCUCAGGCAGACUAACACAGCAUUCUUGCCUUUCCCUGAGGAGUUGAAUUCAACUGUCUUAUACACUCCUUCCCUAUGGUAUAUAAACCCUGGGUCUGGGGCAGGGAUAAUGGUGUGGGGAUCCACCAUCUUGUCUUACCACCAUCUGAGACAUGGCUUCUGUUAAUAAGUCCCUAUUAAAUUUUUCUUUCUGAUAAACUGGAUUUGUCAGCCUCUUUCUUUGGAUUCUCAGCUUCCUUGGCCUUUGGAGGUAGGUUUGCACAGACCUGCUCACUACAGAAUACUAGGAGAAAAAGCAAUCAAUGAAAAUAUAUCUGGAAAUGACAGAUAUUAAAAUGAUUCUUACAGAUAUGCUCAACAAUUUAGAGAAAAGCAUGAACAUAAUGAGGAAAUAAAUUGAAGAUAAGAAGACUCAAACAGAACUCCUAAGGGAGGAAAAAUACAGUGUUUAAAAUGAAAAUGUUACCAGAUAGGAUGAAAAGCUAAUUAGAUACUGCAAAAGAAAAGAUCAGUGAACUUGAAGACACACCUUAGAAACGAUCUCAAACGAAGCACAGAGAGGAAAAAAAGAGUGAGAUAAAAACCAAUAUCACUGAUCUAUGGGACAAUGUCAAGCAGUCCGACAGACAUAACACUGGAGUCGCAAAAGGGGAUGUGGGGGCAGAAAAAACAUUUUGAAAAAAUAAUGGGCAAACAUUUUCCAAAUUUGAUGACAGCUAUAAAUCCAGAUCAAAGAAGCUCAAGGAACCCCAAGCAUGAUAAAUAAAAAUAAAAUCACACCAGGGAGCAUUACAUUUAAAUUGCUGAAAGCCAGUGAUAAAGAUAAAAUCUUAAAAGCAGUCAGAGGAAAAUUAAGAAAAGACAUUAUGUACCUAGGAACAAAGAUAACAAUGACAGCAGACUACUCAUCAGAAACUAUGCAAGCUGGAAGACAAUGAAACAUCUUUAAAUGCUGAAAGAAGAAAACCCCAAAAACCUAUUAACCUAGAAUUAUGUUCACAGUGAAAGUACCUUUCAAAAAUUAAGAUGAAAUAAAAUUUUUUUAAAAAUGCAAGCUAAAGUAGUAGAAUUUGUUGCCAGCAGACUUGCUCUAUAAGAAACAUUAAAGGAAAUUCUUUAGGAGAAGGAAAAUGGUAUCAGGUAGAAACUUGGAUCUACAGAAAGGAGUGAAGAAAGCAGGAAAUGACAGAGAUGUGGGUAAAUAUAAAAUAUGUUGAUUGUGUAAAGCAAAAGUAAUAAUGAUAUAUUUGGCAGUUUAUAAUACAUGUAGAAAGUGUAUGAUGACAACAGCACAAAGGAUAAGAGGGAAAAAUGGAAGUAUGUUGUAAGGUUCUUAAGGUAUACAUGAAGUAUAUAAUAUAUUAUUAUAAUCUUAUUUGAUGAUAGACUGUGAUAAGUUAAGCAAGUAUAUUGUAAGCCCUAGAGCAACACUAAGAGAGUAAUGAAGAGGCAUAGCGACUAAGCCAAUAAUAGAGAUAAAAUGAAAUCUUGAUGUUUCCUUCUGUGUGUAGGGACCCCAUUGGUAUAACACACCUGGCUUCUCCCUGCUCUCUCUUUCAUUCUGCUCCAGCGAAUAUUGAGUGACUUAUCUGAUUGGUGAGUUUGGCAGUAGCAGUCCAGGCUACUGGGUAGCUCACCCCAUCCUUGGGUACAAGCUACCUGAAACGUAAACACAUUUCUGCUCUGCCCUUGUGAGCAGGAGAGGCUAGUGAUGGUCCAGUGUUGCUUAUGACCUAUGGGCAUGUCUGACUAAUUCUAGGUUUCCAUGUUUAACAGUCUGCUUGCCUGCAGCCAUGAGCCAUGUUCUUCAAAGUCAGCCUCAUUGGUAGCAAAUGUGAUACUUGGUCUCUAUCUGCCUUGCUUCUUUGUCUAAUUUCUUAAUUGGUUUAGAAAUCAGUAUUUAUGGAGAUACUUCCCCCACUACAAUGGCUGGCUUGACUGCCAGCUCCUGGAUAGGAAAAGGAUACUGGACUCCUCUCCUACCUGCCAUAUGUGAUUGACCAUGGGAGCUUGAGCAUGGGGUCCUGGAAGGGGAAGGGAUCGAUGGUAAGACAAGGUAAAGAGAAAUAUUAAUGCACAGGUGCCCUGUGAAGUGUGCUGGACCUCUGGGCUCAGAAAGGACCAAGGGAGCCUCAGGCGAGCCCAGUGGGGAGGGACAGCCUCAGCUUUCCUCCUCUUACUCCCCUGCUCAGAUUCUACAAUAUCUCUGCCCCACUCAGCCAGGCAAGUUAUGGCAAUGGCACAAGCUGGGGGAAGAAGAUCUGGAUUCCUUGCCUAGCUGGGCCACUAAUUUUCUAUGUAAGCCUAACUGAGUUAUGCUCCUCCCCACUCCCACCUCCGCAUUCUGGCCUCAGUUUCGCCAUCUAGAACAAAGAAAUUGUGCUAAAUAAUAUCUUGUAGUGGUUCCUUCUGGCCUUUACGGUUUCCUUAUCUAGAUCAGAGACUCCAGCCUAGGGCUACUUACAGACUUACUUUGUUUGGCCCACGCUGUGUUCUUUUUUU